rnacentral:rRNA from 1 species
GACGAACGCUAGCGGCGUGCCUAAUACAUGCAAGUAGAACGCUGAAGCUUGGUGCUUGCACCGAGCGGUUGAGUUGCGAACGGGUGAGUAACGCGUAGGUAACCUGCCUGGUAGCGGGGGAUAACUAUUGGAAACGAUAGCUAAUACCGCAUAAGAGUAGAUGUUGCAUUACAUUUGCUUAAAAGGUGCUAUUGCAUCACUACCAGAUGGACCUGCGUUGUAUUAGCUAGUUGGUGAGGUAACGGCUCACAAAGGCAACGAUACAUAACCGACCUGAGAGGGGGAGAGGCAAAGCUGGGACUGAGACACGGCCCAGAAUCCUACGGGAGGGAGCAGUAGGGAAUCUUCGGCAAUGGAAGGAAGGCGGAACGAGCAACGACGCGUGAGUGAAGAAGGUAUUCGGAUCGUAAAGGUGUGUUGUAAGAGAAGAACGAGUGGGAGAGUUGAAAGUGCACACUGUGACGGUACCUUACCAGAAAGCGACGGCUAACUACGUG